UCUCCGUUGGUGAACCAGCGGAGGGAUCAUUACCGAGUUUACAACUCCCAAACCCCUGUGAACAUAUCUAUCGUUGCCUCGGCGGUGCCCGCUCCGGCGGCCCGCCAGAGGACCCCCAAACUCUUGUUUUAUACAGUAUCUUCUGAGUAACACGAUUAAAUAAAUCAAAACUUUCGACAACGGAUCUCUUGGCUCUC
rnacentral:misc_RNA from 1 species